rfam:TPA: Bos taurus chromosome 17, whole genome shotgun sequence.
UCCCUGGUGGUCCAGUGGCUAAGACUCCAAACUCCCAAUGGAAGGAGUCCAGGUUCGAUCCCUGGUCAGGGAA